rnacentral:rRNA from 1 species
CCUACGGGUGGCAGCAGUAGGGAAUAUUGCUCAAUGGGGGAAACCCUGAAGCAGCAACGCCGCGUGGAGGAUGAAGGUUUUCGGAUUGUAAACUCCUUUUGUUAGAGAAGAUAAUGACGGUAUCCAACGAAUAAGCACCGGCCAACUCCGUGCCAGCAGCCGCGGUAAUACGGAGGGUGCCAGCGUUAAUCGGAAUCACUGGGCGUAAAGAGCGCGUAGGCGGGAUAGCAAGUCAGAUGUGAAAUCCUAUGGCUUAACCAUAGAACUGCAUUUGAAACUGUUAGUCUAGAGUAUGGGAGAGGUAGGUGGAAUUCUUGGUGUAGCGGUAAAAUGCGUAGAGAUCAAGAAGAAUACUGAUUGCGAAGGCGACCUGCUAGAACAUAACUGACGCUGAUGCGCGAAAGCGUGGGGAGCAAACAGGAUUAGAUACCCUGGUAGUC